rnacentral:rRNA from 1 species
AGUGAACGCUGGCGGUAGGCCUAACACAUGCAAGUCGAACGGCAGCACAGUAAGAGCUUGCUCUUACGGGUGGCGAGUGGCGGACGGGUGAGGAAUACAUCGGAAUCUACUUUUUCGUGGGGGAUAACAUAGGGAAAUUUACGCUAAUACCGCAUACGACCUACGGGUGAAAGCAGGGGAUCUUCGGACCUUGCGCGAUUGAAUGAGCCGAUGUCGGAUUAGCUAGUUGGCGGGGUAAAGGCCCACCAAGGCGACGAUCCGUAGCUGGUCUGAGAGGAUGAUCAGCCACACUGGAACUGAGACACGGUCCAGACUCCUACGGGAGGCAGCAGUGGGGAAUAUUGGACAAUGGGCGCAAGCCUGAUCCAGCCAUACCGCGUGGGUGAAGAAGGCCUUCGGGUUGUAAAGCCCUUUUGUUGGGAAAGAAAAGCAGCAGGUUAAUACCCCGCUGUUCUGACGGUACCCAAAGAAUAAGCACCGGCUAACUUCGUG